AAAGGAGAAUGGCAGAAUUCGUACAGCAUACUUUUAUUGGUGUUCCCUGAUAAAAUUUGUACCACUUAUUGAGGGAACUAAACCAUUCAUUUUUUUGUAAAAAUAAUAUUUUUAGAAGCUGGGGUUUAGCAAAUAUAUCAAUUAAAAGAUUUUAGUAACGAAACGUAAUAUAAUGAAACGAAACGUAGAAGACAUGUUUAGUUAGUUGCCAUUAAUAAAAUAUCAGAAGGCUCGAAAUGAUAAAUAAAUAUUUUGAAAUAGAAAUAACAGUAAAUAUAAUUAACCAAUUACAGGUUAUACCUUAGAAUAUAUAAUUAAUGCAUAUAUAUGCAUAGAAUCUUUAUAUUUAUAGGAAUUAUUUUUGCCAUCAGUAUUUUUUUUUUGUAAUGGCAAUUAUUUAUUGACAGGUUCGUAAAAUCCCUAAUCUUUCAAAGUCUGUCCAGUUUUUGCCGUUGUUUUGUUUUGGAUUGUAGUUUGUAACUUCAUCUAAACAAUUUAGCAAUUAUCUGGCCAUUUUUACGUUGAGUUGAGCAACUGCUUCUCCGUUCUCUAUCUGUUGAUACUACUUUCGCGAAAGGACGCUUUAUUAAUUGUGUUGUGUGUUACGUGUUUUAUUGAAAAUGACGAGUUUGCAAUGCAUCAAUUGCAAUGUUCGCUUGUCCCAAAGAAGAAGACACGCUUUAUCAAAUGACGGUGAAGAUAUCGUCAACACUAAUCGUCUGAGGACAUAUCUUAGAGAUAUUACACCAGAUGACCAUGUUUACCAUGAAUGCUGGCAGCUAGCUAGUCAUUCAUGUUCUUCUGAUAAUAUGCCGAGAAGACACAUAGGCCAUCAGUGUUUGUGUUGUAUGUGGACAACCCAUACUAAGAAUCAGGCAAUGCAGAAUUUUGAUUGAAGAAAAACAAAGAACGGCUUACACAAUUGCUACUUAGAUAUAACCACGACAGCUUCAUCCUGACGAUAAAGCUUGUGUGCGGUGUUGGUUAAGAGUGAGAACUAAGGAUACUUCACCAAAUGAAGAUAUUCAACCCGUUGAACCUUAUCAGCAGGAAAGUGAUAAUUCUGAACUGAUGUGUGCUGCAUGUGGUCAAAGUCUUACUCCCAACAACACUGCUUGUUUAUUGGAACACCAACAGGUAUAUAAUAAUAUGAAAUAACAUAUUUAUAGUAAUUAGCUUCUAAAAACGCAAUCCAAAGAGCAAUUACAAUUUUAUGUUGCUAAAUGUAAGACACUAAUGAUGUUGGCUCUACUAACAACAACAAAAGGAUACUGGUCUUUCCAUUCUCUACUCCAGUGAACAAUAAAUAUAUUUAGUAUUUUUGGAAAGGUCUUCGGUAAAAACCAAUCAUUGUGUGUCGAGAUUUAUUCUCUAGCCUGGUCAUGUUUUGCGCAAUUUAUAUCUAUCAUAUGUAAAUGCUUAAUAUUGUAUUACAUGAAUGUUAUUUAUUUACAGACACCUUCCAUUAAUGAAGUUUGUGAAGUUUGCUGGGGCCAAGUAUGCAAUUUGAACUUCUAUGUUCCAGAUGGUCUAUGUUGCUUCAAGCUAAAAUAAAGUCCUGCCACUCUUCUCCUAGAACUUAUUUUGUUUUCAUAGUUGCAGAAACAAAUAUGAAUAGCCGGGACACCAUCAAAAGUGAUUACUGUAAUUGUAUUGUAGGUUUAAGAACAGUGGGAUGCUGCUCACAUGUUAUGAGCAUUCUUUGGUAUUUGAGUUAUGCUUGCCAUGAGGGUAUGAGCCGACCUGCCCCUUUCUUGGAUGAAGUAAUAUUAAGAACCAAUCAAGUAAUUAUAAGAAAAUAAAGUAAAUGAAAUUCCUACAAAAACUAAGUUGUUUUAUUUACCUACACUGAAAACUUCAUCAGCUCUUAAUCAUUAUCAAACUAUUGUAGACCGCUGCUGGACAUAGGUCACUCCUUAAGCACGCUACUGAAUGGGUAAAUUCUCAUGUCAAUUUAUCAACUUCCUAUAUUCUUUUUCAUUUAAACAAUGUUUAUGUGCUUAGUGCUUACACAUGAUAAAGAACAAAGGGUAAUGUUGGGACCACCUCU